UACGAAGGGGGCUAGCGUUGUUCGGAAUUACUGGGCGUAAAGCGCGCGCAGGCGGUCUUCCAAGUCAGUGGUGAAAGCCUGGAGCUCAACUCCAGAACUGCCAUUGAAACUGUUAGACUUGAGUACGAGAGAGGUGAGUGGAAUUCCCAGUGUAGAGGUGAAAUUCGUAGAUAUCGGGAGGAACACCGGUGGCGAAGGCGGCGACCUGGGUCGAGACUGACGCUGAGGCGCGAAAGCGUGGGGAGCAAACAGG
rnacentral:rRNA from 1 species